rnacentral:snoRNA from 1 species
AUCCUCUCAGGGUCACACUUGGAGAGUUUCCAGCAUGCUACCAGUGAUGACUACAGGAGGGACAGUCAAGCAGAGGCAUACCCAUUCCAUUCUUAGCUUGGGCAGUGGCUAGUGAGUGGAAGGCAAUCUGCUACAAGU